rnacentral:rRNA from 1 species
GACGAACGCUGGCGGCGUGCUUAACACAUGCAAGUCGAACGGAAAGGCCCUGCUUUUGUGGGGUGCUCGAGUGGCGAACGGGUGAGUAACACGUGAGUAACCUGCCCUUGACUUUGGGAUAACUUCAGGAAACUGGGGCUAAUACCGGAUAGGAGCUCCUGCUGCAUGGUGUGGGUUGGAAAUUUUCGGCGGUUGGGGAUGGACUCGCGGCUUAUCAGCUUGUUUGUGGGGUAUUGGCUUACCAAGGCUUUGACGGGUAGCCGGCCUGAGAGGGUGACCGGCAACAUUGGGGCUGAGAUACGGACCAGAAUCCAACGGGAGGCAGCAGUGGGGAAUAUUGCAAAAUGGGCGGAAGCCUGAUGCAGAAACGCAGCGUGCGGGAUGAAGGCCUUAGGGUUGUAAAAAGCUUUCGCCUGUGACGAAGCGUGAGUGACGGUAAUGGGUAAAGAAGCACCGGCUAACUACGUG